GGCCACAGCUCAGUGGUAGAGCGUCUGCUUUCCAGGCAGAAGGUCCCAUGUUCGAUCCCCGGCAUCUCCA